rnacentral:sRNA from 1 species
GCAGCAAAGAGACAGGAUCACCAUCCUCUUUCGCCCUCGGUUGCUUUCUGUUGAGUUGGCCCCAGCAGCCAAUGAGGGCAGGUGAUGCUAGGCCGUGGCCUGGGUACCCAGCAGCCAUCACAGCAUGUCUUUCCCUCACCAGGAUGUGUUCGAAAUGCGCUUUGCCAAGAUGCCGGACGAGCCUGAGGAGCCAGUGGUGGCCGUGUCCUCCCCGGCAGUGCCCCCUCCCACCAAGGUUGUGGCCCCGCCCUCAUCCAGCGACAGCAGCAGCGAUAGCUCCUCGGACAGUGACAGUUCGACUGAUGACUCUGAGGAGGAGCGAGCCCAGCGGCUGGCUGAGCUCCAGGAGCAGCUCAAAGCCGUGCACGAGCAGCUUGCAGCCCUCUCUCAGCCCCAGCAGAACAAACC